AUGAACGCUAGCUACAGGCUUCACACAUGCAAGUCGCGGGGAAACGGCAUCGAAAGCUUGCUUUUGAUGGGCGUCGACCGGCGCACGGGUGAGUAACGCGUAUCCAACCUGCCCAUCACUUGGGAAUAACCUUGCGAAAGUAAGACUAAUGCCCAAUGACAUCCCACGAAGGCAUCCGAAUGGGAUUAAAGAUUUAUCGGUGAUGGAUGGGGAUGCGUCUGAUUAGCUUGUUGGCGGGGUGACGGCCCACCAAGGCAACGAUCAGUAGGGGUUCUGAGAGGAAGGUCCCCCACAUUGGAACUGAGACACGGUCCAAACUCCUACGGGAGGCAGCAGUGAGGAAUAUUGGUCAAUGGGCGAGAGCCUGAACCAGCCAAGUAGCGUGCAGGAUGACGGCCCUAUGGGUUGUAAACUGCUUUUAUAAGGGAAUAAAGUGGGUCACGUGUGACUUUUUGCAUGUACCUUAUGAAUAAGGACCGGCUAAUUCCGUG
rnacentral:rRNA from 1 species